CUGAGGUACAUUACUUCUACCAUGUGCAAAAAAGAUGUCACAGUGCAAUAAUCACAGAACCUACAGAAUACCCACAGAAUCUACAGCCUUCUGUUGGAUCAUGUUGUCAAGCUUACAUAAACUCAGUGAAAAUGCACAUGACUCAAGAAAUGAACUCUUCAUUUCACAAAGAAGUUGAUGUCCCUGGGGUUCCUCAAUGUUGCUGCCUCUCAGAUUGGCUUCCUUGGGGGUCCAAGCUGAAAUGGUCCAAGGAAGCCAAUCUGUUUAACUCUGCACUGAAGGAGGACUCAUAAAAUUGAUUAUUUCACGCUUCAAAAGAGAGUGCUCCAGCGUGCCCCAUGCAGACAAUACUGCAGACAAUGACCACAGGGAGGGGAGACACCAGGCUCCACUCAAAGAAUGAGGAGAGAUGAGAGAGAAACUGCUUCAAACAGUGGAGGGGAUCAAAGGCCUGGAAGUGUACAAUGGAGGAAGCUCUAACUUUACUUUGCAGGGCAAGAGAUAUAUGAACUACUGGGG